UUCUCCUUUGUGAUAAUGGCACAGACGAAAAUGGGCUUUUGGUAGACAUUUUUAAUUUUGUAUUUAACUUUCUUUCUUUCAUGCCAUCUUUUUUCUUUUUGCAGGUAAUACUAAAUAACUUCCGGCUGGGUCAAAGUUCGAUGUGCACCUAACUUUAGAUAGAACACUUAAUACCACAAGUCAUGUCAUUGGUGAUAAAUGUGAAUGUAUUUGUGCGGAACUUGGGUAAUUAUUGACGCUGUCGAUUAAUAUACUGCAGGUAGGAGUUUUAGCCACAUAUGUUACUAUUGUUGUCUAUGGGAUUCGAUUUGGUGGUAUACACCCUGCAUCAAUUUUCGUCUUCCUUCUUUUUUCUAUUAUGGGUGUAAUAUGAUAAUUAUUUACAAUAUUAACCAAAUUUGAUUUACACGACAAUGACUAUAGUUAAUUGGAAUAAAAAUCUUGCAAUGAAUUUUAAUGACAACAGUGACAAAUGUUAAUUACUCUCAACCUUGCCAUCAGCCUACACAUAAUUCUAAACGGAAACUAUUAUCCUGAAUCAUACUAUUAAGUGAUUAUCUGGCAUUCUGUUUGACUACUUCUGUAUAUCUAAAUUAUAAUGAUUGACCUUUCCAAGUCGCAUUGUGGUGUACAGGUUUUAUUAGUACAUGAGUAUCUAAACAAUGUCAUGUCAGUAACUCUGAAAAUGGCCGGCCCGUCUAGUUGCAUCCUACAGAUCUUUCUCCUGGUUACGAUCUUACAGUGUGUCCAUCUGAAAGAAAUGACCAAUCAUAUUCCACCAAACGGAGAACUCGCGUGCCUGUUGAAUCAGUUUGCAGAUGACACAAUAUCAGAAAAUAUUGAAAUUCUGCAGGGUUUCGUGGAAUUGUGGGAUAUCCGGAUCACCACAAUGGAAACGAAAUUAAAGGAUUCUGUUGCUAAGCGUUGUCAAGGAAACGACGAUGGCCUGAUUGUAAACUCUUCUACAAGCAUAACUUGAGAUACACGAUGAAGUGUUUUGGUGAGGUGUACACAGUGAACCAACGAGAACAAGAACCGCUGUGAAGAUUCGUAAGAAGAUAAAAUGUAAUAAAUGAUAGCAAAAUUGU